rnacentral:rRNA from 1 species
GUGGGGAAUCUUAGACAAUGGGCGCAAGCCUGAUCUAGCCAUGCCGCGUGAGCGAUGAAGGCCUUAGGGUUGUAAAGCUCUUUCAGCUGGGAAGAUAAUGACGGUACCAGCAGAAGAAGCCCCGGCUAACUCCGUGCCAGCAGCCGCGGUAAUACGGAGGGGGCUAGCGUUGUUCGGAAUUACUGGGCGUAAAGCGCACGUAGGCGGAUCAGAAAGUCAGAGGUGAAAUCCCAGGGCUCAACAUUGGAACUGCCUUUGAAACUCCUGGACUUGAGGUCGAGAGAGGUGAGUGGAAUUCCGAGUGUAGAGGUGAAAUUCGUAUAUAUUCGGAGGAACACCAGUGGCGAAGGCGGCUCACUGGCUCGAUACUGACGCUGAGGUGCGAAAGCGUGGGGAGCAAACAGGAUUAGAAACCCUUGUAGUCC